rnacentral:tmRNA from 1 species
GGGGAUGACAGGCUUCGACGGGAGAGGCUGAUUCCGGAAUGCGAGCCGAGCGCGCGCCGACCUCGUAAAAUCAGCGCAAACUUUAAGUGCCAACAACCGCACUUACGCCGCUAUGCCCCUCGCCGCCUAAGGCGAAGCCUAACGGUUGACAUCUUCGCGAUGUCACGUCCGCCGUCCCCGUCCUCCACCCGGCGACGGACCGGGCGAAACAAUGAUGGAGCGCCGCGUGUGAUUCCGCUAAACACGCCCAAGACCAGCGGAUGGUCGCAGGCUUACCAGCCGGCCGGGAUGCCUGCGAUGACGAACAACGGCAGGCUACGCUCGUAGAGUUCCGAGAGUCGAAUCUUUCGGACCCGGGUUCAAUUCCCGGCAUCUCCAC